rnacentral:rRNA from 1 species
UACGUAGGGGGCAAGCGUUGUCCGGAUUUAUUGGGCGUAAAGAGCGUGUAGGCGGCCAGGUAGGUCAGCUGUGAAAACUCGAGGCUCAACCUCGAGACGCCGGUUGAAACCAUCUGGCUAGAGUCCGGAAGAGGAGAAUGGAAUUCCCGGUGUAGCGGUGAAAUGCGCAGAUAUCGGGAAGAACACCCGUGGCGAAGGCGGUUCUCUGGGACGGUACUGACGCUGAGGCGCGAAAGCUGGGGGAGCAAACGGG